rnacentral:rRNA from 1 species
UCCAGGCCCUACGGGGCGCAGCAGGCGCGCAAACUUUACAAUGCGAGCAAUCGUGAUAAGGAAACCCUGAGUGCCUGUCGAUGCAGGCUGUUCAUAUAUCUAAAUCAUAUGUGAAGAAAGGGCAGGGCAAGACCGGUGCCAGCCGCCGCGGUAAUACCGGCUGCUCGAGUGAUGGCCACUAUUACUGGGUUUAAAGCGUCCGU